rnacentral:tRNA from 2 species
GGCGAGAUGGCCGAGCGGUCUAAGGCGCUGUGUUCAGGUCUCUCAGAGAUCCGCAGUCUUCGGACGUGGGUUCGAAUCCCACUCUCGUCA